rnacentral:rRNA from 1 species
GUGAGGAAUAUUGCGCAAUGGAGGCAACUCUGACGCAGCCAUGCCGCGUGCAGGAAGAAGGCGCUACGCGUUGUAAACUGCUUUUAACCGGGAAGAAACCACAGGACGUGUCCUGGGUUGACGGUACCGGAGGAAUAAGCACCGGCUAACUUCGUGCCAGCAGCCGCGGUAAUACGAAGGGUGCAAGCGUUAUCCGGAUUCAUUGGGUUUAAAGGGUGCGUAGGCGGAGCGUUAAGUCAGUGGUGAAAUCCUGCAGCUUAACUGUAGACUUGCCAUUGAUACUGGCGCUCUUGAGUGCGCUUGAAGUGGGCGGAAUGUGCCGUGUAGCGGUGAAAUGCUUAGAUAUGGCACAGAACACCAAUUGCGAAGGCAGCUCACUAAGGCGAUACUGACGCUGAGGCACGAAAGCGUGGGGAUCGAACAGGAUUAGAUACCCCGGUAGUCC